CAAAUGGAUCUAAACAGGAGGAAACCAAAUGCAGCGUUUAUUCACUUAAAAAUAAAUAAACGCUGCAUUUGGUUUCCUCCUGUUUAGAUCCAUUUG